rnacentral:rRNA from 1 species
GAUGAACGCUGGCGGCGUGCUUAACACAUGCAAGUCGAACGGAAAGGCUCCUGCUUGCAGGGGUACUCGAGUGGCGAACGGGUGAGUAACACGUGGGUGAUCUGCCCUGCACUUCGGGAUAAGCCUGGGAAACUGGGUCUAAUACCGGAUAGGACGAUGGUUUGGAUGCCAUUGUGGAAAGUUUUUCGGUGUGGGAUGAGCUCGCGGCCUAUCAGCUUGUUGGUGGGGUAAUGGCCUACCAAGGCGUCGACGGGUAGCCGGCCUGAGAGGGUGUACGGCCACAUUGGGACUGAGAUACGGCCCAGACUCCUACGGGAGGCAGCAGUGGGGAAUAUUGCACAAUGGGCGCAAGCCUGAUGCAGCGACGCCGCGUGGGGGAUGACGGCCUUCGGGUUGUAAACUCCUUUCGCUAGGGACGAAGCGUUUUGUGACGGUACCUGGAGAAGAAGCACCGGCCAACUACGUG